UUGUGGCUCGGGGACGGGCAGCGUCGGUCGGCGGGUGGUGAGAGGCAGUGUCGUUUGUGUUUCUGUGGGGUUUUUUCCUUUUUUUUUCUUUCCCUUCCUUUUCCAUUUUAUUAUAUUAACAUUAUUGUCAUUAUUAUCAUAAUUAUUAUUAUAAUUAUUAUUUUAUUGUCAUUAUUAAACUGUGCUUAUCUCAACCCACAAGCUCUUUUGCUCUUCCGAUUCUCUCCCCCGUCCCACGGGGUGGGGGGAGUGAGCGAGCGGCUGCAGGGUGUUCAGUUACCAGCUGAGGCUGAACCACGACACAGCUCUGAGCUGAAAGGCAGGUCUGCAGAAACCUCUGGAGAGCAGCACAGCUUCAGCCUCAGCACCUCACCUGGUCCUGGGGCUGGGGUGUCCAGUGGGGCCGAGUUUUCUGACUUCGGACAGCAAAAGGAGAUUCAUCUGUUUCUGUGCCCAAUAUCUGUUCUAAGCUAAUGCCUCAGUGCUAUGAUUCUACCUUGUACCAAAUGCUGCGUUUGAUUAAACAGGUCUGCCAAACUGGAGACAGCAGGAUGCGCGCUGAAUUCCUCACGUGGGCAGAGAGAGAUGCUUGUAGAAAGUGACGACCCGCAUGAAUCUGGACUUCUGUUUGCAGAAUAAAUACAAUUCCUUGCUUUCUACCUCUUGCAAAGAUGCCUUGCCUCAUUAUCUGUGUCAGAAUC